GAUGAAGAACGUAGCGAAAUGCGAUAAGUAAUGUGAAUUGCAGAAUUCAGUGAAUCAUCGAAUCUUUGAACGCACAUUGCGCCCGCCAGUAUUCUGGCGGGCAUGCCUGUUCGAGCGUCAUUUCAACCCUCAAGCCCCCGGGCUUGGUGUUGGGGAUCGGCGUGCCCUCGCGGCGCGCCGUCCCCUAAAUCUAGUGGCGGUCUCGCUGUAGCUUCCUCUGCGUAGUAGCAACACUCGCACUGGAUCGCAGCGCGGCCACGCCGUAAAACCCGCCACUUCUGAAAGUUUGACCUCGGAUCAGGUAGGAAUACCCGCUGAACUUAAGCAUAUCAAUAAGCGGAGGA
rnacentral:misc_RNA from 1 species